GAGGGAGUCCCACUAUAAUUAGAACUGCUAAUUCAAAUUACCGAAGUUAAACUCUUCGGCCCCCUCCCCA
rnacentral:tRNA from 1 species